UCACGAUAAUGGCAAACUCAUUCGAAAGAUGAGGACGCAAAGCCACGGGCCUUCAUUCACAUGAAUAUGGCAGCCGGGUUGCCGAA
rnacentral:ncRNA from 1 species